rnacentral:lncRNA from 1 species
CCGAGGCGCCCGCCGCCGCCGCUCUGCAAACCGGCGAGGUCGACGCUUCGCCGCUUCUCCUCGUCAACGUCAAUCCCUCAACGUCCUUCUUAUCCUCUCCGAAACAGAGCUGUCACUCUCCCCUCCCAAUUUAGAAAUCGCCGCCGUCGCCGCUGCCCAUGGAAGGACGGCGAACGGUCGCCGGUCGUUGCUCUGCCUGACUCGGACACUCCCUUCGCC